rnacentral:rRNA from 1 species
GGGUUGUGAGGUUAAGCGACUAAGCGUACACGGUGGAUGCCCUGGCAGUCAGAGGCGAUGAAGGACGUGCUAAUCUGCGAUAAGCGUCGGUAAGGUGAUAUGAACCGUUAUAACCGGCGAUUUCCGAAUGGGGAAACCCAGUGUGAUUCGUCACACUAUCAUUAACUGAAUCCAUAGGUUAAUGAGGCGAACCGGGGGAACUGAAACAUCUAAGUA